rnacentral:rRNA from 1 species
CACCAGGUUGAUUCUGCCUGACGUGGACGCUUGCCUCGGAGAUUAAGCCAUGCAAGUCUGUGAAUAUUAUUGGAACAGUGAACGGCUCAGUAUAACACGUCUAUCUACCCACUUGCAUUAAUAACCAUGGGAAACUAUGGCUAAUAUUGUGGAUGAGGAUGUGACCUAUCAGCUUGACGGUACGGUAAGUGCGUACCGAGGCGAUAACGGGUAACGGGGAAUAUGGGUUUUAUUCCGGAGAGGGAGCCUGAGAGAUGGCUGCCACGUCCAAGGACGGCAGCAGGCGCGAAACUUACCCAAUGAACAUUGAGGUAGUUACGGGGCGUACUUUUUGUAUGAAGUGUGUGUAAAAAGCAUGCCGAAGUACUGGAGGGCAAGUCUGGUGCCAGCAGCCGCGGUAAUACCAGCUCCAGUAGCGUCUGUGUUUAUUGCUGCGGUUAAAAUGUGCGUAGUCUGGUUGCGGGCCUGAGUCAAAGACGCACUUUCGUGGUGUGGAGGAUUUCAGGAACCCAGGCCUUGAGACAGGGAAGAGGUGACGAUAUUUGGUUGUGAGAGGUGAAAAUCGAUGACCUGCUAAGGAGCGACAGAGGCGAAAGCGGUCACCAGGAACUGAUCUGACGAUCAAGCACGUGAGCAGGAGUAUCGAAGAGGAUUAGAGACCCACGUAGUUCCUUGCAGUCAACGAUGCCAACAGUGUGGUGGAACAUCCAUUGCGCGAGCGAAAGCUAGUUUGUAGGCUCCGGGGAUAGUACGGACGCAAGUUUGAAACUUGAAGAAAUUGACGGAAGGACACCACAAGGAGUGGAGUGUGCGGGUUAAUUUGACUCAACGCGGGAAAACUUACCCGGGCAGGCAAUAGUCUUGAGAUGCUGAUGCAGAUGACAUUGCGCGUGGUGCAUGGCCGUUCUUAACACGUGGGGUGACCUGUCUGGUCAAAUCUGAUAACGCGUGAGAGGUGAUUAGUCAUACGCCAAGUUUAGCUUUGUGUGUGAUUAGACGAUGUGUGUAAGCACAAGGAAGAUGCACCCAAUAACAGGUCUGUGAUGCCCGUAGAUGUCCGGGGCUCCACGCGCACUACAAUGGAAGACAGUAAGUAUAGAUAGUAGUUUUUCGUAGUUGGGAUUGACGUAUGUAAUUAUGUCAUGAACUUGGAAUUCCUAGUAGUUGGUAGUCAUUAACGACCGACGAAUAAGUCCCUGUUCUUUGUACACACCGCCCGUCGUUAUCUAAGAUGGAAGUGCGGGUGAAGAUGUGAAUUGCUCUGUGCAUGCACGUGAGUGAGUGUACAGAUUACUGAAAAGGCUUGCCUUUGAAGUUAGGCAUGAGCAUAAGAACCCGUGCAGCUAGAUUGGAUGUAAGUCGUAACAAGGUAACCACGACGUGGUUUGUGCUGCCCGGUGGGAUGGUGGCAACCAGGAGGAUGGUUCUUCCCCGUUGGGUUAUUCUUCUCCCGAGU